AGGGACAUCUAGAGCAUUUCCCUGUCACCACGUCCAGACAUUCUAGGGACACAUCGACUGUACCAGACUUCCUUAAAAUAGUUGAGGUUUACGUAGACGCCAGCCAAUCGCUUCGGUAAGAAUAUGAGGUUGAGUCUGACUGAAUUUUUUUUUUUUGGGGGGUUAUUUAACGACGUCGUCUCAACCACGGAGGUUAGAUUAACAGGAUACGGACUCGUAAGGAGUUGAUCGUGGAUUGCAAAAACGGAAGAUAGAAAAAUAAAUAAAUCACGUAAGGAUGUCAGCUGAGAGGUUCGAUCCCCGGACCAGCCGCGUGCAAUUCUGGAAGAUUCACACCAGAUCCAACGAACCAGCCCUCCAACUGUUCUUAAAGACAGAAGACACUAAAGAGGCUGUUGGUACAUUUGACAUACCCCGUUCUUCCUCUACGCACAGUGUCUCAUAAUCCGACUAAUUACUACGACCAAUAUGGAUUUCGUCUGUGCUGUGGAUGUUGAAACCAGGAUCUGACCUCUUGAUAUAACGAGCGUCUCUCUCAGAUGACCAGAAUGCCCCCUGUAUCUCCGCCAGAUUCAUUCUACAUCUCAAACAGCUGCCGACCUGCAGCAAAAUCGAUUCAGGAAAUAACAGCAAAACAAAUGAAUAACGUUACAACAAUGGCGAGAGACAUUUCCGGAGCAUCGUGGGACGGCGUUGGAGUUUGUGAUUGUUGUGAAAAGAAAACUGCUUGAUUGUCGUAUCCGUGCAGGCUUACAGUGAGAAACGAAAUCGAUUUGAAAAUUUAACAUUCAAAUUUUUUUUUUUCUCUUAGUACGAAGUUCGAAUUUUAAAAAUCCUCGUGAAAGAUAUUUCAUUGUUACCAACUUCUUUGUCGAUUAUUUUUUCUGCUAAAAAUAAUUAUAACAAUUUUUCUGUCUGGUCUUCAGGACAAUUUAAACGUUGUACUCAAUUAAAAAUCAAAAUUAUAAUCAUAAAUUGAGUUUUAAGUGUAAUGAAGGCAUCCAGUUAUGUUCUGAAGAAACAUUUCCCUCCAGGAGAAUUCUACGAAAAUUUCCAGCCCGGAAUUUUGGAAACGAACUGCUUUGUAUCUGCCCCGAAGUAAUAACAAACGAAAUUAGAUUUGCAGUCAAUGUUUUCCGACCGGACGACGACUGAAAAUCCUUUAAACAACUCGACAAGCAGGACUGUGUUGACGGUAACAUCACAGCGUUCGAACGCCAAUAUUUACGGUUGAUGUUUUCAUAACGGAUAGUAGCGGAAAUCAAAGAUUUGUUUUUGUGUGUGUGGAUGAAGAAGGUGGCGGAGUGGAUCAAGGCUUACUGGAACAGCUAACACCAGUCGUAUAGGACGCCACUUCAUGGACGGUC